AGUGAACGCUGGCGGUAGGCCUAACACAUGCAAGUCGAACGGCAGCACAGUAAGAGCUUGCUCUUACGGGUGGCGAGUGGCGGACGGGUGAGGAAUACAUCGGAAUCUACUUUUUCGUGGGGGAUAACGUAGGGAAACUUACGCUAAUACCGCAUACUACCUACGGGUGAAAGCAGGGGAGCUUCGGACCUUGCGCGAUUGAAUGAGCCGAUGUCGGAUUAGCUAGUUGGCGGGGUAAAGGCCCACCAAGGCGACGAUCCGUAGCUGGUCUGAGAGGAUGAUGAGCCACCCUGGAACUGAGACACGGUCCAGACUCCUACGGGAGGCAGCAGUGGGGAAUAUUGGACGAUGGGCGCAAGCCUGAUCCAGCCAUACCGCGUGGGUGAAGAAGGCCUUCGGGUUGUAAAGCCCUUUUGUUGGGAAAGAAAAGCAGCAGGUUAAUACCCCGCUGUUCUGACGGUACCCAAAGAAUAAGCACCGGCUAACUUCGUG
rnacentral:rRNA from 1 species